rnacentral:rRNA from 1 species
CACCGACUAGCUAGCCCCUUAAAGCAAAAUCAGCAAACCAAUAUUAAUGCCCCCUAAGACACCCCACAAACUUAACUAAAACAUUCUCUACCCUCAGUACGGAAGACGAAACAGGAACCACGGAGCCAUAGAAAAAGUACCGCAAGGGAAAGCUGAAACAGAAAUGAAACAGACAAGUCAAGACAUUAAAAGCAGAGAUAAACUCUCGUACCUUUUGCAUCAUGAUUUAGCCAGAAACUACAAGCAAAGAGCCCUUUAGUUUGAGCCCCCGAAACUGAGCGAGCUACUCCAAACCAGCCUGAAUAAAACAGGGCACACCCUUCUCUGUAGCAAAAGAGUGGGAAGAGUUUUAAGUAGAGGUGAUAAACCUAUCGAGCUCAGUGAUAGCUGGUUGCCUGAGAAUUGGAUAUUAGUUCAGCCUCCCCUAUUCUUCAUUCCCCCUUCCUGCCCACCACAGCACCCCCUAAGAUAAUAAGAAUGAGAAAGAGUUAAUCAAAAGAGGUACAGCCCUUUUGAAAUAGACACAACUUUAAUAGGAGGGUAUGGAUCAUAUUGCCUAAAGGAUCAUGUCAAAGUGGGCCUAAAAGCAGCCACCUUCCAAAAAUGCGUUAAAGCUCAGACAUUUUUUCCACCUCAUUAUUAGGAUAACCUCCUCCAAACCCCCUAACAUAUAUCAAGCCGUUCUACCCCCGUAGAAGCGACCCUGCUAAAAUGAGUAAUUGGGAAAAUAAACUUCCUCAUCCCCGCAUCUGUAUAUCGGAACGGAAACACCACCGAACAUUAACGGCCCCAAUAGCACAGAGGGUAAUAAAUUUCUACUACAAUAUCCAGAAACACCUUUAUAACCCCAACCGUUAACCCCACACAGGAGCGUACUAAAUGAAAGACUAAAAGAAAAAGAAGGAACUCGGCAAACCCAUUUUAAGCCUCGCCUGUUUACCAAAAACAUCGCCUCUUGUCCCCCCACAUAUAAGAGGUCCUGCCUGCCCAGUGACACCAAGUUAAACGGCCGCGGUAUUUUGACCGUGCAAAGGUAGCGCAAUCACUUGUCUUUUAAAUGAAGACCUGUAUGAAUGGCAAGACGAGGGCUUAACUGUCUCCUUUUUCCGGUCAAUGAAAUUGAUCUUCCCGUGCAGAAGCGGGAAUAACCCCAUAAGACGAGAAGACCCUGUGGAGCUUUAGACAAUAGACCAGACCAUCCCAACGUCAUAAACUAAAACCAAGUAAAAUAAAACCAAGUAAACUAGUGCCUCCCUGUUCUAAUGUCUUCGGUUGGGGCGACCAUGGGGAACUACAAAACCCCCACGUGGACUGGGAGUACAUCCCUCCUACAAAUUAGAGAAACACCUCUAAUUAACAGAACUUCUGACCUAAAAUGAUCCGGCAACGCCGAUCAACGAACCAAGUUACCCCAGGGAUAACAGCGCAAUCCCCUUUGAGAGUCCAUAUCGACAAGGGGGUUUACGACCUCGAUGUUGGAUCAGGACAUCCUAGUGGUGCAACAGCUUCUAAGGGUUCGUUUGUUCAACGAUUAAAGUCCUACGUGAUCUGAGUUCAGACCGGAGAAAUCCAGGUCAGUUUCUAUCUAUGACUUAUUUCCUCCUAGUACGAAAGGACCGGAGAAAAGAGGCCCAUGCUACCAGCAUGCCUCCCCCCAAUUCGAUGAAAAAAGCUAAAUCGAAUAAAGGGGUAUGUCCCCCAGACAGGGACAUCUGUCUUUA